rnacentral:rRNA from 1 species
AGUGAACGCUGGCGGUAGGCCUAACACAUGCAAGUCGAACGGCAGCACAGUAAGAGCUUGCUCUUACGGGUGGCGAGUGGCGGACGGGUGAGGAAUACAUCGGAAUCUACUUUUUCGUGGGGGAUAACGUAGGGAAACUUACGCUAAUACCGCAUACGACCUACGGGUGAAAGCAGGGGAUCUUCGGACCUUGCGCGAUUGAAUGAGCCGAUGUCGGAUUAGCUAGUUGGCGGGGUAAAGGCCCACCAAGGCGACGAUCCGUAGCUGGUCUGAGAGGAUGACCAGCCACACUGGAACUGAGACACGGUCCAGACUCCUACGGGAGGCAGCAGUGGGGAAUAUUGGACAAUGGGCGCAAGCCUGAUCCAGCCAUACCGCGUGGGUGAAGAAGGCCUUCGGGUUGUAAAGCCCUUUUGUUGGGAAAGAAAAGCGGCAGGUUAAUACCCCGCUGUUCUGACGGUACCCAAAGAAUAAGCACCGGCUAACUUCGUG